GCCCUGCUGAUGAGUGCCAAAACAGGACGAAACAGCUGUCCAGGGC
rnacentral:hammerhead_ribozyme from 1 species